rnacentral:rRNA from 1 species
GACGAACGCUGGCGGCGUGCCUAAUACAUGCGAGUUGAGCGAUGAAGAUUGGUGCUUGCACCAAUUUGAAGAGCAGCGAACGGGUGAGUAACGCGUGGGGAAUCUGCCUUUGAGCGGGGGACAACAUUUGGAAACGAAUGCUAAUACCGCAUAACAACUUUAAACAUAAGUUUUAAGUUUGAAAGAUGCAAUUGCAUCACUCAAAGAUGAUCCCGCGUUGUAUUAGCUAGUUGGUGAGGUAAAGGCUCACCAAGGCGAUGAUACAUAGCCGACCUGAGAGGGUGAUCGGCCACAUUGGGACUGAGACACGGCCCAAACUCCUACGGGAGGCAGCAGUAGGGAAUCUUCGGCAAUGGACGAAAGUCUGACCGAGCAACGCCGCGUGAGUGAAGAAGGUUUUCGGAUCGUAAAACUCUGUUGGUAGGGAAGAACGUUGGUGAGAGUGGAAAGCUCAUCAAGUGACGGUAACUACCCAGAAAGGGACGGCUAACUACGUG